GCCCACUCUGGGAUUAUAGAAAUGGCCAGAAACAUGAUAUCUGACAUUGGAUAGAUAAGAUACACAGAGGUUUAUGAGUCACAUACACUCACAGCUCAGGAAAGGAGGACACUGCACUCCAGGCAGGACCACACAAGUGUGGCAAUCUGGAACAUAAUGAAGAACCAGGGGCUGUGGGAAGCAGACUCACAAGAGGCCAUGAAGACAUCUUUCUCAGAUCUUCAUUUUGAGAAUACAAUGGGGUUCUUAAAGGUUCCAAUUACAUACUGGCAUACUUCAGAGAUAUUGUGCAUUUGGAUCCAGGCCAUCACAAUAUGGCAUUUAUCAUACUAAAGUCUCAUUUUGAAUAAUAAUCGUGGAACUAUCUUCAAAUUCACUGAUUCAUUCUUCAGCUACAUACUUACUGUUGUAACCUGUCAAAGGAAUUCCUUACACACAUCUUGUAAUCAUGUUUGUUUUUUGUUGUUGUUUUGUUUUGCUUAAUUCUCUUAACAUUUGUGUCAUUCAUA